CUACGGGUGGCUGCCGUGGGGAAUAUUGGACCAUGGGCGAAAGCCUGAUCCAGCCAUGCCGCGUGUGUGAAGAAGGCCUUCGGGUUGUAAAGCACUUUCAGUGGGGAAGAAAGCCUUGGGGCUCAUACCCUCGAGGAAGGACAUCACCCACAGAAGCAGCACCGGCUAACUCCGUGCCAGCAGCCGCGGUAAUACGGAGGGUGCGAGCGUUAAUCGGAAUUACUGGGCGUAAAGCGCGCGUAGGCGGUCUGAUAAGCCGGUUGUGAAAGCCCCGGGCUCAACCUGGGAACGGCAUCCGGAACUGUCAGGCUAGAGGGCAGGAGAGGAAGGUAGAAUUCCCGGUGUAGCGGUGAAAUGCGUAGAGAUCGGGAGGAAUACCAGUGGCGAAGGCGGCCUUCUGGACUGACACUGACGCUGAGGUGCGAAAGCGUGGGUAGCAAACAGGAUUAGAUACCCCUGUAGUC
rnacentral:rRNA from 1 species